UACAGAGGUCCCGAGCGUUGUUCGGAUUUAUUGGGCGUAAAGGGUGCGUAGGCGGCGGAGUAAGUUGGGUGUGAAAUCCCGGGGCUCAACCUCGGAAUGGCAUUCAAUACUGCUUCGCUAGAGUACUGGAGAGGAGGCUGGAAUUUACGGUGUAGCAGUGAAAUGCGUAGAUAUCGUAAGGAAGGCCGGUGGCGAAGGCGAAUCUCUGGACAGUUACUGACACUGAGGCACGAAGGCCAGGGGAGCAAACAGG
rnacentral:rRNA from 1 species